rnacentral:lncRNA from 1 species
GAGAAGGGCAGCCCAGGGUGACAGGCGAGGGGCCCCUCUUCUCCCCUCAAGGACCCAAUGAGCGCAGCUGCUUUGGGACCCCAACCUAGGAGGGUGACACGGAGCUGGAAGCCCCACAGGCCACGUGGGAUUGAACCGUGAGCGUGAUGUCCUGCUGCUCAAGGCCCUGCAGCUGCAGGAAGGCGUGGUGUGCAGGCCCGGGACAGACAAUCAGCAACAGGAAGAAGCCCGAGUGGUGAGUUAGGGAGCAUUGUUCCUGCCCUGCUCCGCCCACCAACGCUGCCAGGAGCUGCGUCAGGACAACACAAUGUGGGCAACUGCGGGCCAAGAAACAGGACCCAGAAGAAAAAUACUGGAAAUUCCCUGCGCCCUGCACGGAGAGGCCUUGCUAGGAAAUCAGCAGCCAGGGAGAGAGAGGUCGCUGCCCGCAGGCG